CCUCCCACCUCCAAGAUGAUAGAGGGCUCCAUUUGUGACAUUGUGGUGACACAGACUCCUGCUUCUCUGGCUGUGUCUCUAGGGCAGAGGACCACCAUCUCCUGCAGAACCAGCGAAAGUGUCAUUACAUAUAUGCACUGGUACCAAAAGAAACCAGGACAACAACCCAAACUCCUCAUCUUUUUAGCAUCCAACCUAGAAUCUGGGGUCCCUGCCAGGUUCAGUGGCAGUGGGUCUGGAAUAGGUUUCACAUUCACCAUCAAUCCUGUGGAAGCUGAUGAUGCUGCAACCUAUUACUGUCAGCAAAGUAGGAAGUAUCCGUGGACGUUCGGUGGCGGCACCAAGCUGGAACUCAAACGGGCUGAUGUUGCACCAACUGUAUCCAUCUUCCCACCAUCCAAACUUCAGUUAGACUCCGGAAGUGCCUCAGUUGUGUGCUUCAUAAACGGCUUCUAUCCCAAAGACAUCAGUGUCAAGUGGAAGGCUGAUGGCCAAGAACGACGAGAUGGCAUCCUAAACAGUAUGACCGAUCAGGACAGCAAAAACAGCACCUACAGCAUGAGCAGCACCCUCACGCUGACCAAGAACGAGUAUGAACAACAUAGUCUCUAUACCUGCGAGGCCAUUCAUAAGACGUCGGCUUCACCCGUCGCCAAGAGCUUCAACAGAAAUGAGUGUUAGAACCAAGGUCCUGAGGCGCGAUCACCUGCUCCCCAGCUCCAUCCACUCCUCCCUCCUAAGGUCUUGGAGACUUCCCCACAAGCGACCUACCACUGUUGCGGUGCUCCAAACCUCCUCCCCACCUCCUCCUCCUCCCUUUCCUUGGCUUUUACCAUGCUAAUAUUUGGGGAAGAUACUGAAUAAAGUGAAUCUUUGCACUUGA